rnacentral:rRNA from 1 species
GUGGGGAAUCUUAGACAAUGGGGGCAACCCUGAUCUAGCCAUGCCGCGUGAGUGAUGAAGGCCUUAGGGUCGUAAAGCUCUUUCGCUGGGGAAGAUAAUGACGGUACCCAGUAAAGAAACCCCGGCUAACUCCGUGCCAGCAGCCGCGGUAAUACGGAGGGGGUUAGCGUUGUUCGGAAUUACUGGGCGUAAAGCGCGCGUAGGCGGAUUGGAAAGUUGGGGGUGAAAUCCCGGGGCUCAACCCUGGAAUGGCCUUCAAAACUCCCAGUCUUGAGGUCGAGAGAGGUGAGGGGAAUUCCGGGUGUAGAGGUGAAAUUCGUAGAUAUUCGGAGGAACACCAGUGGCGAAGGCGGCUCACUGGCUCGAUACUGACGCUGAGGUGCGAAAGCGUGGGGAGCAAACAGGAUUAGAAACCCCAGUAGUCC